UUAAGAUACUAAUCUAAACUAAUCUAUUCUUUAAAGAUUUUUAGCUCACCUGCAACAACAAGGGUUCAAACCCACAACGCAGAGAAGCUACCUGACAGAUGUUGUGGCCUUUCUGAAAUACGUCCUUAACAUGGCACCACAACAAGUGCGACUCUCAACCAGGAGCAUCAAUGCCCUCUUGGUUGAAAUAAGGGCACGUAUCAGAGAUGUUAGCCGUGAGAUUGUUGGCCACCGACUGAAUGUGCGCAGAUCUAAGUCUGAUCGACUCAAACAAACAUGCUGCUUUCAUAGAGAGGGCACCAAAAAAGAUCAGUGCUGCACUCGACAGCAAGGAGGCACUGAGGGGUUUUUUUUGGACUCCUGGGUGGGUUUAUCAUCGCAAUAACUGGGCACCGAAAGGGGGUUGUCAUAAAUAUGACCACAGAAGAGGUGAGAGAGGCAGAAAAAGACAAAGAUGGUGCUCGCAUCAUCUGUGUGGAACAGCACAAGACCCAACGCUAUCACGGACAAGCGGCUGUUCCCCUCCACCGUCACGAGUAUGCCUGGAUGCAGCGAUACAACCAGCUAAGAGGUCAAGUUGAAGGAGUGUCUGCAGAGACCUUUUUUCACAACACCAAUGGGGGGGGUCCUGCUCAAGCUGCCAGAGCUCUUUCAAGCUGCUUGGAAGUCGAUGAAUUUGGGGUCUGCACCCACUUUCAACAUGUUGAGCGGAUGAUCCGACGGAGGAUAUUCUUCAGAGCAGAGCACUGACAGUUCUGGCCAUUUCAACCUAUGCUCUGAAAAAAGGGGCCAAAGGUGGCGAAAAAGGUUCCAACAGAACGAGAUAGAGACUUCUGGCCAAGAGGAGCAGGUGGAGGAGAAGGAAGAAGAGGAAGACCACGAGGCAGAAGAAGAGAAGGAGCAAGAAUUAGAAAGAUCUUAUGACCUGCGCAAAAAGGAACCCGUGCCUUCAAGCCAACAAAGACAAAGAAAAAGCUCCUCUGAGGACGACAGCCAAAACGAGUGCCCCAUCCUGCGAAGAGAGAGAGAAAGCUUCUUUGAGGAGGACGGCCAAAAAGAGUGCCCCAUGCUGCAAAAAGAAGUGCUGUGUGCAGCUGAGGUGGCUGUUUCACUUGAUCUUGUGACUUUAAUGACACCCACAAAGGACAAAGUUGCAGUAAAAGUACCCUCUGGUAUCCAGCAGGCCUUUGUUAGUCCAGGUACAGCAGCGAUUUUAAAAUGUCCUCCACAAAAAACUUUUCCUGACCCAACCGAGAGGCAGAGCAAGCUUGAGCAGUUAUUGUUUCAUCAGUGAAGCCUAUGUAAGUUAAAAUAAGAAAAGAAAGAAGAAGAAGAAAGUGACAUAUUUUAAAUAAACCUUUAAAUAAAGGUUCCAUGGGGCAAACACCAUGCCAGAAGAGGUUUUCAGACAGGAGUAUAGAUGAAGAGGAACAAGCAGAACAAGCAAGGAGGAGGGAGGAUUUAGAGGGGAUGAGGAGGGAAGAUGAAAGAAAAGUGGGGGACACCGAGAGUAGGGAGGGAAGCAAUUUGGUUUAAGAAAGUGCCAGAAAACACAUUUACUGAAAUGUAUGGACACACUGGAAGUUUUGUCCAAGUGUUUCAAGUGUUCAGUGUUCAAUAAAACUAUUCAAUGCAAAACACAAGUUUAUUCCUUAUUUCUUAUUUUGUUGUUAAAUUGCUGAUCUAAACUAUUCCAUACAUUAAAACAUAAUUCAAGUACAAUGAGGUACCAGCUUCUGCAGCAUAUUUGACUGAAGGAAGGCCAAGAAGACUUAUACCUAUA